UGGGCUGGUCGCAAGACCCAGGUCCAUCAACGGCGGGAAGUUCCCC
rnacentral:ncRNA from 1 species